GUUCUAGGGGAAAUUCCUGACAGAGGCCCUGAGCAGAACAGGAAAGUCAGAGCUACAGAGAAAACGCCUCCACCAGCAUGACUUAUGCCAUUGGCCCAUAAAACUGGGUCCCUCUGUCCUCCAGUGACCAGAUGUGUAUGUCGAAAAGACAGCAGGACAUCAAGAAUGAGCCCUACUGUGAACUAUGGACAUUGGGUGAUAACCACGAAGUGUCAAUUGGCAUCUGCUGAGCUUCAGCUGGCAUCUGGACAUGAGAGGACAUGAUGGCAGAUGAGAGGAUCUGACACCCAAGGAAGGAGGCAGUGGUCUGAACAACAUCUUACCACUUAUGAACACACCUAUGUUCAUGCAGUGAAAGCAUGAGUUCUGUUUAUUUGAACAACAGAGCUCUGAACAGCCCCCAAGCAGCCCAUUUGCUCUGCUGGAAUGCAGAGCAUGCUAGUGCAGAGAAGUCUUUGAGGUCAGAGCUGAAUUUGAAAAUUGCCUGCUAUUGAUGGGUAACCAGGGUUGUUAUUGUUUUUUCUUCAGCUGUAAAAUGGGAGAAUUGGGAGAGGUUCUGGUUUUGCACUGAGAUAAUGCAUUGAUGUGCACAGCACAGUCCCUGGAUCAAAGUAAGCCAUCAAUACACAGUAGCUCUUGGGACUGCAUUUAGCCUCCUGAUCUAGCAUAAUAGUAAGAAUAAUAAAGAAGCAAGACUAGGGUUCUGUG